rnacentral:rRNA from 1 species
AACGAACGCUGGCGGCAUGCCUAACACAUGCAAGUCGAACGAGACCUUCGGGUCUAGUGGCGCACGGGUGCGUAGCGCGUGGGAACCUGCCCUUAGGUUCGGAAUAACUCCCCGAAAGGGGUGCUAAUACCGGAUAAUGUCUUCGGACCAAAGAUUUAUCGCCUUUGGAUGGGCCCGCGUUGGAUUAGCUGGUUGGUAGGGUAAAAGCCUACCAAGGCGACGAUCCAUAUCUGGUCUGAGAGGAGGAUCAGCAAAACUGGGACUAAGACACGGCCCGGACUCCACCGGGAAGAAGAAGUGGGGAAUAUUGGACAAUGGGCGAAAGCUUACUACGGCAAGGCGGGUUGAGUGAUGAAGGCCUUGGGGUUGUAAAGCUCUUUUACCCGGGAUGAUAAUGACAGUACCGGGAGAAUAAGCCCCGGCUAACUCCGGG